rnacentral:tRNA from 2 species
GGUUGCGUAGUUUAAGGGUAAAACUAUAGUCUCCAAAACUAUUGACUGAGGGUUCGAGUCCUUCCGCAUCCGCCA